rnacentral:tRNA from 2 species
GCGGGUGUAGUUUAGUGGUAAAAUCCAAGCUUCCCAAGCUUGUGUCGCGAGUCCGAUUCUCGUCACCCGCU